CACACCGCCCGUCACACCAUGGAAGCCAGCUGUACCGGAAGUCGGUGCGCUAACCCCGCAAGGGGGGCGCUUGCCACGGUGUGGCCGAUGACUGGGGUG
rnacentral:rRNA from 1 species